rnacentral:rRNA from 1 species
CCUACGGGUGGCAGCAGUGGGGAAUAUUGGACAAUGGGGGGAACCCUGAUCCAGCCAUGCCGCGUGUGUGAAGAAGGCCCUCGGGUUGUAAAGCACUUUCAGUGAGGAAGAACGCCUGGUGGUUAAUACCCAUCAGGAAAGACAUCACUCACAGAAGAAGCACCGGCUAACUCCGUGCCAGCAGCCGCGGUAAUACGGAGGGUGGAGCGUUAAUCGGAAUUACUGGGCGUAAAGCGCGCGUAGGUGGCUUGAUAAGCCGGUUGUGAAAGCCCCGGGCUCAACCUGGGAACGGCAUCCGGAACUGUCAAGCUAGAGUGCAGGAGAGGAAGGUAGAAUUCCCGGUGUAGCGGUGAAAUGCGUAGAGAUCGGGAGGAAUACCAGUGGCGAAGGCGGCCUUCUGGACUGACACUGACACUGAGGUGCGAAAGCGUGGGUAGCAAACAGGAUUAGAUACCCUGGUAGUC